rnacentral:lncRNA from 1 species
AAGUUAAUGAAUGGCUGUGACCAUCUAAAAGAGAAGAUGUAUCAGUAUGAAAAUGAGAAAACAGAGAAGUAAGUAUCCAGAAGGCAGUUGUGAGACAACUUCAAUAAGAACUGGCAGAUACCCUAAAAAAGCAGUCCAUGUCAGAGGAAUCACUGAAGGUCAUGUCACGUUAUUGUGCUAACUUAGAAGAUGA